AAUAGAUACCCGGGUAGUCCACGCCAUAAACGAUGAGCACUAGGUGUCGCGGGUAUUGACCCCUGCGGUGCCGCCGCUAACGCAUUAAGUGCUCCGCCUGGGGACUACGGCCGCAAGGUUAAAACUCAAAGGAAUUGACGGGGGGCCCGCACAAGCGGUGGAGCAUGUGGUUCAAUUCGACGCAACGCGCAGAACCUUACCUGGGCUAGACAACAUCGGACAGUCCUAGAGAUAGGAUCUUCCCUUCGGGGACCGGUGGUUCAGGUGCUGCAUGGCUGUCGUCAGCUCGUGUCGUGAGAUGUUGGGUUAAGUCCCGCAACGAGCGCAACCCUUGCCCUUAGUUGCCAUCAGGUAAAGCUGGGCACUCUAAGGGGACUGCCGGCGUUAAGCAGGAGGAAGGUGGGGGAUGACGUCAAGUCCUCAUGGCCCUUAUGUCCAGGGCUACACACGUGCUACAAUGGACGGUACAAAGGGCAGCAAACCCGCGAGGGGGAGGCCAAUCCCAAAAAGACCGUUCUCAGUUCGGAUUGGAGU
rnacentral:rRNA from 1 species